rnacentral:rRNA from 13 species
CAACUUGUGAACUGCAGGACACAUGAACAUCGACAUUUCGAACGCACAUUGCGGUCCUCGGAUACUGUUCCCGGACCACUCCUGGCUGAGGGUCGUAU